CCUACGGGAGGCAGCAGUGGGGAAUUUUGGACAAUGGGCGCAAGCCUGAUCCAGCCAUGCCGCGUGAGUGAAGAAGGCCUUCGGGUUGUAAAGCUCUUUCGGCGGGGACGAAACGGUCCGUGCUAACACCACGGACUACUGACGGUACCCGAAGAAGAAGCACCGGCUAACUACGUGCCAGCAGCCGCGGUAAUACGUAGGGUGCAGGCGUUAAUCGGAAUUACUGGGCGUAAAGCGUGCGCAGGCGGUUUGUUAAGACAGGUGUGAAAUCCCCGGGCUUAACCUGGGAACUGCGCUUGUUACUGGCAGACUCGAGUGUGGCAGAGGGGGGUGGAAUUCCACGUGUAGCAGUGAAAUGCGUAGAGAUGUGGAGGAACACCGAUGGCGAAGGCAGCCCCCUGGGCUAACACUGACGCUCAUGCACGAAAGCGUGGGGAGCA
rnacentral:rRNA from 1 species